rnacentral:misc_RNA from 1 species
GAUGAAGAACGUAGCGAAAUGCGAUACGUAAUGUGAAUUGCAGAUUUCAGUGAAUCAUCGAAUCUUUGAACGCACAUUGCGCCCGCCAGUAUUCUGGCGGGCAUGCCUGUUCGAGCGUCAUUUCAACCAUCAAGCGCCUGCGCUUGUGUUGGAGCCCUGCGGCUGCCGCAGGCUCCCAAACCCAGUGGCGGGCUCGUCGUCGUACCGAGUGCAGUAAACUUACCACGCCCAGGGAACGCGACGGGUGACCGGCCGUAAAACCCCCAAACUUAUCAAGGUUGACCUCGGAUCAGGUAGGAAUACCCGCUGAACUUAAGCAUAUCAAUAAGCGGAGGA